rnacentral:SRP_RNA from 1 species
UUGCGCUAGGUGGGAAGUUAGCGGUGUCCUGUAACCCGAAAUCCGCUCAACGCGGGGCUGAAUUCCCUUUUUGAGAGCCAAUAGUUCCAUGACGCCACGAGUUGCACCUGGCCGGGCACCGCGCAACAGACAAUUACGAACCCCGUCAGGUCCGGGAGGAAGCAGCGGUAAGUAACAUGUCUGUGUCGCGGAUUGUUUCUGGCCGAUUAUGGCGGCUUCGUGGUCCCUGGAAAAGGUUCGAGAAAGGGUGCGCGA